GUCAAGGGAUUGGAACCCUUUCUUCCCUCACGGGCCAUUCAAAACUUAUAACAUUUAAAACAUUUUCUCAGGAUCAUGCAACAAAAAGGGAUUUACCAACUCUCUAGGCAAAGCACAAUUAUAUACAUCUCAUGCUACAACACAUGGCAUAUCUAUACUUUUCUUAACUUGGCUCUAUCUCUUUAUAACAUUACUCUUUCUAUUCUUUCAUAUCCCUUACAUACAUAAGGACCAUACAUCAAGUCCAUCUAUCAUGUCCAUAUAUCAUCAUGUCCAUAACUAAGCUAUACAAGCAAACAAACAUACAUAGCAUUAUAUAACAUAUCAUCUCUUUAG
rnacentral:lncRNA from 1 species